rnacentral:rRNA from 1 species
CCUCAUUUAUUCUGCCAGUAGCAUAUGCGUGUCUCAAAGAUUAAGCCAUGCACGUGUAAGUACAAACAACUGGUACAGUGAAACUGCAAAUGGCUCAUUAAAUCAGUUAUGGUUCCAUUGAUCGCUCCAUCUGUUAUUUGGAUAACUGUGGUAAUUCUAGAGCUAAUACAUGGCGACGAGCGCGGACCUCCCGGGAUGCGUGCAUUUAUCAGACCAAGACCAAUCCGUGCUCGCCCGGCCGCUUUGGUGACUCUAGAUAACCUCAGGCCGAUCGCACAUCCAUGUGACUGCGAUGAUGCAUUCAGAUGUCUGCCCUAUCAACUUUCGAUGGUACUUUCUGUGCCUACCUUGGUGACCACGGGUAAUGAGGAAUCAGGGUUUGAUUCUGUAGAGGGAGCCUGAGAAACGGCUACCACAUCAAGGAAUGCAGCAGGCGCCCAAAUUACCCAAUCCCGACUCUGGGAGGUAGUGACGAAAAAUAACAGUACAGGACUCUUUCGAGGCACUGUAAUUGGAAUGAGUACACUUGAAAUCCUUUAACGAGUACCCAUUGGAGGGCAAGUUUGGUGCCAGCAGCCGCGGUAAUUCCAGCUCCAAUAGCAUAUAUUAAAGUUGCUGCAGUUAAAAAGCUUGUAGUUGGAUCUUGGGAUUGAGCUGGCGGUCCGCCGCGAGGCGAGCUACCACAGCCUGUCCCAGCCCCUGCUUCUUGGAUCCCCUUUGAUGCUCUUGACUGAGUGUCCUGGGGGUCUGAAGUGUUUACUUUGAAAAAGUACAGUGUUAAAAGCAGGCUGGUCGCCUGAAUACUUAAGCUAGGAAUAAUGGAAUAGGACAUUGGUUCUAUUUUGUUGUUUUUCUGAACUGGGGCCGUGAUUAAGAGGGACGGCUGAGGGCAUUCGUAUUGUGCCGCUAGAGGUGAGAUUCUUGGGCCAGCGCAAGACGAACCAAAGUGAAAGCAUUAGCCAAUAAUGUUUUCAUUAAUCUACUGUCGUUUUUGGUUGUUGGUCUUCAGGUCUGCCACUCUGCCAAUUCCCUAGGGGUGCUGUUAACCUCCGGAGGGAAGUGUCCAUGUCUGUUAGUACGACUAGGAGGUUGUCGGCAAAGGCCAGUGCCUUAUGGUCUUCCCCACCAAAUGUAAUCCCCUUUUUUCCCCUCUCCUGUCUAAUUCUAGCUAGGAAGGGUUCGAGAAAGUUUGUGUACAGGAAUGGUGACAUGGGAAGCCCUGCUUAGUACCCCUAGUGAUCCUUAUCGUCUGGGAGACAUGCCCAUUGAUAGCUAUCCUGAUAAGUGGUGCUCCAUAGUUGGCUAUGACUAGGUGGAGAAGGCCCGGGCCAAACCCCAUAACCACCAGGGUAGCAAACAAGAAUGACCAUUUGACUCGGUCGAAUGCCUUCUCUGCAUCUAGUGCUAACACCCCCUGCCCUCAGGCCUGCCCUGUUUUGACUUCUCUGUCAGGUGGGAUAUUCGCCUAAUGUUGUCAAACGUUUGUCUCCCUUGACAAAGCUGCUUGAUCUGGGUGGAUCAGGUCGGUGAUUUACUUUAUCCAUUCUAGAUGUUAGAAUUUUGGUAAAGAUUUUGGCAUCGAGGUUAUUAGGGUUUAGGGCAGUAGGAGCUACAGAGGGUUUGUUUCUUGUGUUUGGAUUACCUUGGCCUCCUCCAUGGACUGGGAGAUGCAGCCCGUAUCGGAGCUCUGGCUGACCUCUGUUACAGGUUUCCCCCACCACGGAGCCUCGGCAUUGUGCCAAUACCGCCACAAAAGGAAA